AUAAAAAGAAGAAACUGUCCCCAGGACAGAUCCAUUUCAACUUUUCAGGUCGAACACUGUCAAGGACUUGGGAACUGGAUCUCAGGAACAUGGAAUUACUGCAUGAGCUCCUACUUUGAAGGACUGAGCCUAUAAUGCACUUGAAUUUUCCUACAUUUUCUUUAGUUGUGGCUGCCAGCUCCCCAGUGUGCCUUUAAAAGUGUGGAUACAAACCCUCAGAGCCUCUCAUGGUGACAGAGCUUCGGAAGAUAACACUGGAGAGGAACUCCUCAGGCUAACAGCAAUGGUGACAUCGGAUCAUCACUUCUGUGGGUGAAGAAUAGCAGGUGCACAGGAGAUAUUUGAUACCAUUCCACUGGAACCACAUUUUGUAGGUGGGACCUUAGCCCCAA
rnacentral:lncRNA from 1 species